AUUGAACGCUGGCGGCAGGCCUAACACAUGCAAGUCGAGCGGUAGCACAGAGAGCUUGCUACUUUGCCGGCGAGCGGCGGACGGGUGAGUAAUGUCUGGGAAACUGCCUGAUGGAGGGGGAUAACUACUGGAAACGGUAGCUAAUACCGCAUAACGUCGCAAGACCAAAGAGGGGGACCUUCGGGCCUCUUGCCAUCAGAUGUGCCCAGAUGGGAUUAGCUAGUAGGUGGGGUAACGGCUAACCUAGGCGACGAUCCCUAGCUGGUCUGAGAGGAUGACCAGCCACACUGGAACUGAGACACGGUCCAGACUCCUACGGGAGGCAGCAGUGGGGAAUAUUGCACAAUGGGCGCAAGCCUGAUGCAGCCAUGCCGCGUGUAUGAAGAGGGCCUUCGGGUUGUAAAGUACUUUCAGCGGGGAGGAAGGCGAUAAGGUUAAUAACCUUGUCGAUUGACGUUACCCGCAGAAGAAGCACCGGCUAACUCCGUGCCAGCAGCCGCCGUAA
rnacentral:rRNA from 1 species